rnacentral:rRNA from 1 species
AUUGAACGCUGGCGGCAUGCUUUACACAUGCAAGUCGAACGGUAACAGGCCUUCGGGCGCUGACGAGUGGCGAACGGGUGAGUAAUGCAUCGGAACGUGCCCAGUCGUGGGGGAGAACGCAGCGAAAGCUGUGCUAAUACCGCAUACGAUCUAUGGAUGAAAGCGGGGGACCGUAAGGCCUCGCGCGAUUGGAGCGGCCGAUGUCAGAUUAGGUAGUUGGUGGGGUAAAGGCUCACCAAGCCAACGAUCUGUAGCUGGUCUGAGAGGACGACCAGCCACACUGGAACUGAGACACGGUCCAGACUCCUACGGGAGGCAGCAGUGGGGAAUUUUGGACAAUGGGCGCAAGCCUGAUCCAGCAAUGCCGCGUGCAGGAAGAAGGCCUUCGGGUUGUAAACUGCUUUUGUACGGAACGAAACGGCGAGCUCUAAUACAGUUUGCUAAUGACGGUACCGUAAGAAUAAGCACCGGCUAACUACGUGCCAGCCGCCGCGGUAAUAC